GACGAACGCUGGCGGCGUGCCUAAUACAUGCAAGUUGAGCGCUGAAGGUUGGUACUUGUACCGACUGGAUGAGCAGCGAACGGGUGAGUAACGCGUGGGGAAUCUGCCUUUGAGCGGGGGACAACAUUUGGAAACGAAUGCUAAUACCGCAUAAAAACUUUAAACACAAGUUUUAAGUUUGAAAGAUGCAAUUGCAUCACUCAAAGAUGAUCCCGCGUUGUAUUAGCUAGUUGGUGAGGUAAAGGCUCACCAAGGCGAUGAUACAUAGCCGACCUGAGAGGGUGAUCGGCCACAUUGGGACUGAGACACGGCCCAAACUACUACGGGAGGCAGCAGAAGGGAAUCUUCAGCGAUGGACGAAAGUCUGACCGAGCAACGCCGCGUGAGUGAAGAAGGUUUUCGGGUCGUAAAACUCUGUUGGUAGAGAAGAACGUUGGUGAGAGUGGAAAGCUCAUCAAGUGACGGUAACUACCCAGAAAGGGACGGCUAACUACGUG
rnacentral:rRNA from 1 species